rnacentral:rRNA from 1 species
GCCUUCGGGCGGGGAGCGGUGGACGGGUGAGUAACGCGUGGGAAUUUACCCCAAAGUCAAGAAUAACCCCGCGAAGGCGGGACUAAUGCUGGAUGUGAUCGCAAGAUCAAAGGGCUUAACUGCCCGCUUCGGGAGGAGCCUGCGUUCUAUCAGCUUGUUGGUAGGGUAAUGGCCUACCAAGGCAAUGACGGAUAGGGGCGCUGAGAGGUUGGACCCCCACGGAGGCACUGAGACACGGGCCUCACGACUACGGUCGGCAGCAAUCGGGAAUAUUGCGCAAUGGGCGAAAGCCUGACGCAGUGACACCGCGUGUGGGAUGAAGGCUUUCGGGUUGUAAACCACUUAAGUCCGAUGUCACGUCGGACGGAUAAAGCCGCGGCUAACUACGUGCCAGAAGCAUCGGUAAAGCGUAGGCGGCAAGCGUUAUCCGGAUUUAUUGGGCGUAAAGCGUUUGUAGGCGGUUUGUUAAGUCUUGUUUGAAAGCCUGCCGCUCAACGGCAGACCCGGACAAGAGACUGGCAGACUAGGAUUUGGUAGAGGAUGCUGGAACUCUAUUUGUAGGGGUGAAAUCCGUUGAUAAAUAGAGGAACAUCAAGGGCGAAGGCAAGCAUCUGGGCCAACAUCGACGCUGAGGGACGAAAGCUAGGGGAGAGAAAGGGAUUAGAGACCCCUGUAUUCCUAGCUGUAAACGAUGCCCGCUAGGCCUCUGGCUUUUAGCUGGGGGCCAUAAGCUAACGCGUUAAGCGGGCCGCCUGGGAAGUACGGCCGCAAGGCUGAAACUCAAAGGAAUUGGCGGGAACCUGCACAACCAGCGGAGCGUGUGG